rnacentral:antisense_RNA from 1 species
GUACAGCCGGACAACAGGCCAAUGCCCCCGACUCUUCUCCCUGCACAAUGCUCCUGCUCCUGUCCCUCUAUUUCUACCUAACUCCCCUGCCCAAUGGCAGGAGGCCCCAGACACUGCAGGCAUGGUGGGGGCCAGAAACCUGGUUGGCUGGAGCAUGUUUCCUGGUGAUCCUGAGGCAGCGGGGCCAACACCCCAGACAUCUGGAGCCUUGGUGGUCCAAACCAAGACGGAUGCUUCCCUCAGCUACCCACCCAGGCUCUCUCUUCUGGAGCUCAUUUCCGGUCUGAGAAAGAAGGCUCUUAAUUCAACUCCCGAUACCCGAAUGACCUCAGCCUUCAAGUGACCUGGCACAACCCUCCAUGAACAGUUUAUUCAGGCGCUCUUUCCAGACUCAUUUGCUAAACCCCCCCCCCAAAUCCCCAAGACCCCAUCAAUGCCUGGCACUGUGCCCUGAGGCACUGGGGUUUGAAGAUGAAUGAGUGAGAACCAAGAACCUGCCCACAUGAAGCUCAUAACCA